AAGAGACAGCAGCAGCCACGGUAAUACGAAGGGGGCUAGCGUUGUUCGGAUUUACUGGGCGUAAAGCGCACGUAGGCGGACUUUUAAGUCAGGGGUGAAAUCCCGGGGCUCAACCCCGGAACUGCCUUUGAUACUGGGAGUCUUGAGUUCGAGAGAGGUGAGUGGAAUUGCGAGUGUAGAGGUGAAAUUCGUAGAUAUUCGCAGGAACACCAGUGGCGAAGGCGGCUCACUGGCUCGAUACUGACGCUGAGGUGCGAAAGCGUGGGGAGCAAACAGGAUUAGAUACCCCCGUAGUCCCUGUCUCUUAUAC
rnacentral:rRNA from 1 species